GACGAACCGUGCGAACGUUGUUCGGAAUCACUGGGCUUAAAGGGCGCGUAGGCGGCCCCGCCAGUCUCGGGUGAAAUCUUCCGGCCCAACCGGAAAAGUGCCCGGGAUACUGCGGGGCUCGAGCGAGGCAGGGGCGGGGGGAACUUCCGGUGGAGCGGUGAAAUGCGUUGAUAUCGGAAGGAACGCCGGUGGCGAAAGCGCCCCGCAGGGCCUCUCCUGACGCUGAGGCGCGAAAGCCAGGGGAGCGAACGGG
rnacentral:rRNA from 1 species